rnacentral:rRNA from 1 species
UACGUGGGUGGCAAGCGUUAUCCGGAUUUAUUGGGCGUAAAGGGAACGCAGGCGGUCUUUUAAGUCUGAUGUGAAAGCCUUCGGCUUAACCGGAGUAGUGCAUUGGAAACUGGGGGACUUGAGUGCAGAAGAGGAGAGUGGAACUCCAUGUGUAGCGGUGAAAUGCGUAGAUAUAUGGAAGAACACCAGUGGCGAAAGCGGCUCUCUGGUCUGUAACUGACGCUGAGGUUCGAAAGCGUGGGUAGCAAACAGG